ACGAGUUAGGGUCUUCUAGGCCCGACCUCCCAACCCUUUGUUUACCAAACCAUUGUUGCUUCGGCGAGCCCGUCUUCACGGACCGCCGGGGGACCGUCAUAGGUCCUCUGGCCCGCGCUCGUCGGUGGCCCCCCUUAAAUUCUUAACUAAACGUGUCUUAUUCUGAGUAUUAUUUUUUAAUUAAAAGCA
rnacentral:misc_RNA from 1 species